rnacentral:rRNA from 1 species
AGAGUUUGAUCCUGGCUCAGGAUGAACGCUGGCGGCGUGCUUAACACAUGCAAGUCGAACGAACCUUCGGGUUAGUGGCGGACGGGUGAGUAACGCGUGGGAAUCUGCCCUCAGGAGGGGGAUAACGGCUGGAAACGGCCGCUAAUACCCCAUAUGCCGCGAGGUGAAAUGAAUUUCGCCUGAGGAUGAGCCCGCGUCUGAUUAGCUAGUUGGUGGGGUAAAGGCCUACCAAGGCGACGAUCAGUAGCUGGUCUGAGAGGAUGAUCAGCCACACUGGGACUGAGACACGGCCCAGACUCCUACGGGAGGCAGCAGUGGGGAAUUUUCCGCAAUGGGCGAAAGCCUGACGGAGCAACGCCGCGUGAGGGAUGAAGGCCUCUGGGCUGUAAACCUCUUUUCUCAAGGAAGAAGACCUGACGGUACUUGAGGAAUAAGCCACGGCUAAUUCCGUGCCAGCAGCCGCGGUAAUACGGGAGUGGCAAGCGUUAUCCGGAAUUAUUGGGCGUAAAGCGUCCGCAGGCGGCCUUGUAAGUCUGUCGUUAAAGCGUGGAGCUUAACUCCAUUUCGGCGAUGGAAACUACAAGGCUUGAGUGUGGUAGGGGCAGAGGGAAUUCCCGGUGUAGCGGUGAAAUGCGUAGAUAUCGGGAAGAACACCAGUGGCGAAGGCGCUCUGCUGGGCCAUAACUGACGCUCAUGGACGAAAGCCAGGGGAGCGAAAGGGAUUAGAUACCCCUGUAGUCCUGGCCGUAAACGAUGAACACUAGGUGUCGGGGGAAUCGACCCCCUCGGUGUCGUAGCCAACGCGUUAAGUGUUCCGCCUGGGGAGUACGCACGCAAGUGUGAAACUCAAAGGAAUUGACGGGGGCCCGCACAAGCGGUGGAGUAUGUGGUUUAAUUCGAUGCAACGCGAAGAACCUUACCAGGGUUUGACAUCCUGCGAACCCCUGAGAAAUCGGGGGGUGCCUUCGGGAGCGCAGAGACAGGUGGUGCAUGGCUGUCGUCAGCUCGUGUCGUGAGAUGUUGGGUUAAGUCCCGCAACGAGCGCAACCCACGUCGUUAGUUGCCAGCAUUCAGUUGGGCACUCUAGCGAGACCGCCGGUGAUAAACCGGAGGAAGGUGUGGAUGACGUCAAGUCAUCAUGCCCCUUACAUCCUGGGCUACACACGUACUACAAUGCUACGGACAAAGGGCAGCAAGCUCGCGAGAGUAAGCAAAUCCCAUAAACCGUGGCUCAGUUCAGAUCGUAGGCUGCAACUCGCCUACGUGAAGGAGGAAUCGCUAGUAAUCGCAGGUCAGCAUACUGCGGUGAAUACGUUCCCGGGCCUUGUACACACCGCCCGUCACACCAUGGAAGUUGGCCAUGCCCGAAGUCGUUACUCCAACCCUUGUGGAGGAGGACGCCGAAGGUGGGUCUCAUGACUGGGGUGAAGUCGUAACAAGGUAACCGUA